AGAUGCUAUUAAGUGAUUAUUAAAAUUUUAUUGGGUAUGUUGAUGGUAUUGCGGUUCUGUGGGGGACAUCUUUGGUUUUUGAAGGUGCACACUCAAGGGUUAAGGGGUAAAAUGUUACGAUGUUUGUAAUUUAAAAUACUUCAGCAAAAAAAAAAAAAAAAUGCAAGGAUGGCAAUGUGAUCACUGGUAUAUCUAGAUGGUGGUAUACAUAAAGUGAUUGUACUAUUCCCUCCACUUUUCUGAAUACGAGAACAUUUUCAAAAUAAAAACUCAAGUCAGUGAAUGAAUGAGUGAAUGAAUGAAGCUGAUUGUGCCCAGGGGGUCUGUGUGGGGCUCUCCGUGAAGUGCAGGGGUGACUGGUCCUCUCUCUCUGCGCCUCGCAGGAUUUCUCUGGAAGAUCUGAGCCCGAGCGUCGUGCUGCACAUGACCGAGAAGCUGGGUUACAAGAACAGCGACGUGAUCAACACUGUGCUCUCCAACCGCGCCUGCCACAUCCUGGCCAUCUACUUCCUCUUAAACAAGAAACUGGAGCGCUAUUUGUCAGGGAAAUCUGACAUCCAGGACAGCCUCUGCUACAAGACGCGGCUCUACCAGAUAGAAAAGUACAGGGCCCCCAAGGAGUCCUAUGAGGCCUCUCUGGACACCUGGACAAGAGAUCUUGAAUUCCAUGCCGUGCAGGAUAAAAAGCCCAAAGAACAAGAAAAAAGAGGGGAUUUUCUUCAUCGACCAUUCUCCAAGAAGUUGGACAAGAACCUGCCCUCGCACAAACAGCCCUCAGGCUCGCUCAUGACACAGAUUCAGAACACCAAAGCCCUCCUGAAGGACCGGAAGGCCUCCA
rnacentral:sRNA from 1 species